rnacentral:lncRNA from 1 species
GUGGGGGCGCGGUUGAGUAUGGGGUGGGGGCGCAGUGCUGAACAGGGCACAGGAGGAGGAAGCGAACAGGGACCCUUUGGCUCCCAGAACAUGACCAGCUGGGGCUUUUCCCUGUAGACAGGAGGAUGGAUGUGUCUUUGGGGAAUCUGAGUAGCCCAAGAGAAAAGACCUAAAAUUAAUGACAUCAGGAGGUCCCCAGUCAGCAGACCCAGCUGGAUCCCUUGCUAACGAAGCCCGUCAUUAAUAACCCCCUCCCAGUGUUCAAGGCAUCAAGCUUUAAAAAUCCCCAUCCCUUAAAUAUGAGCAGAUAACCAAGGGCAUCUGAAGAAAACCUCUGCUACAGGAGAUUGAGACCAGAAUACACACUGGGAAACCAGAGAGCGUGCAGGAAGGAGCCUUAGAAAGCAGGCUGUCAUUAAUGUCCACGCGGAGGUGAGCGAAAAUAUCGCGAACAUGAGGCAAGAACAGGAAGCUCUAAAAAAAAGCCACCAAAAGGAGUAUUCGAAUAUCCAAAAAGAGAACUCUCGGAUGUAAAAAAAAAAAAUAAAAGCAGAAAUAAGAAAAUCAGUUAGUGGGUGAAAGAUAAAGUUGAGGAACUCCCUCAGAAAGUAGAACAGAAAA